rnacentral:lncRNA from 1 species
AGAGUUUCAAUCCUCUUCCCCUUCCCUUUCUUUCUCCUUCCCCUUCCCUUCUUUUCUUUCUCUUUCCUCCCACCCCUCCUUCUUUCCUUCCAUCCUUCCCCUCUCUCUUUAUCUGUCUCUCUCUUGAGAAACAGGACAUAUUCCUGUUAAAGCAGAUGCUCGUUCAUCUCCAAAGCUCAUAGAGGAACCCAGACCUGGGCCAGAGACCCUCAGGGUGCUGUGGUUUAAUGGCCUGGAGGUGACCCUGCCAAUCACACAGACAUUGCAGGCUCAGAGGGAGGAGCCCCUUGGAAAGAGAGGGUCUUGCAUGCAGGCUGGAGUGCGGUGACACGGUCACAGCUCACUGCAACCUUGACCUACUGGAUUCAAGGGCCUUCCCACCUCAGCUUCUCAAGUAAUUGGGACCACAGCUGUUGGCUGGACACAGUGGCUUACAUCUGUAAUUCCGGAAUUGGGGAGGCUAAGGUGGGUGAAGUGCUUGAACCCAGAAGUUUGAGACCAGCCUAGGCGACAUGGCAAAACCGAGUCUCUACAUCUCGACACAAACAAACAAACCUGAAAUUAGCCGGUCAUCUGCAGUCCCAGCUAUGUACUCAGGAAACUAAGGCCAGCGGAUCUGUUGAGUCCUGGAGAUCGAGGCUGCAGUGAGCCACGAUCAUACCACUGCACUCCAGCCUGGGCAACAGAAAGAGACCCUGUCUCAAAAAAUAAUAAAGUACAUAAAUAAAUAAAUAAACUGUUGAUUGGGAGCCGUGUAUGCACCAGGCCCUAAGCGGGGCAUGAUGAGAUGGGAUGAAGAGUCUGGAGACUUGGGAAAGGCUGCACCUCUGGAGGGAGGCCGCAGCUUCUCCUUCAUCAAAGAGGUCC